GGAUGAUUGAUCAUACCCGCCAGCUGGCUAAUAUCAUAAUUAACAAAGUUGCUACCACAUCUGAGAAGUAUAAUCGAAAAAUUUACCAGCAGUGUGAUGCCAUUGUCACAAAGAUCAUAAGCAUUACAGAGUCGACUUUUGCAAUCCUGGAGCUGCAGAACUAUGUAGAUGUGCUGAGAAGGGGUGCACUUGUACAGCUAAA
rfam:Chelonia mydas contig251747, whole genome shotgun sequence.